GGGUUUCAAUGGGAUGAGUUUCCUGCCAACACUUGACAACAAUAUCCGUGCUGGGUCAUGGCAGUUUGAUUGGACAUCAGGGAGAAAAAGGCUCAAACGGGCCACCCAAGACCUCAGCAUGAGACAGUGAACAUGAUAUGCAAAGCUAGAACUCUAAAGGCAAAGGCCUUCCAGGAAGUUGCUGCCCUGUGGGACCUUAGCCUUCUUUCCAGAACCACUGAAUGAUUUCUGCCAUGUUUCUAUGAAGCUGACACACCUGUUUUGAAUAACAAUUUGCCGGUGCCUCUGGAUUUCCAGGUCUGCAAACUGAAACUGAGAAACAUGUGACGGAUGCAACUGGAAACUGGGAGCAGGAACGUGGCCUCCCCUAUUCUUCACUCAAACCAUUACCUUCAAAGACUUUAUUUUUGUCCUUUCCUUAAGCAUUCAAAAAAUAAAGAAAAAAAGAACACAACGUAUAUAUGAACAUCUUUGCUGCACUCUAAAACUGUACUAUCUAUGCAACAGCCACCAGCCACCUGUGGCUAUUUGGAUUCAAAUAAAAUACAAUUUUAAAAGUUGUUUUAAAACAUCUUUCAGUUUCUAAAUCCAGCUAGCCACAUUUCGUAUACCCAAUAGCCACAUGUGGCUAAUGGUGACUGUAUUGGCAGCACAGGAAAUGGAACGUUUCUAUCACCACUGAAGGUUCCGUUAGACGGUGCUGCUCUACCAUCAGAAAAUGAAAUUUUGUGCUUUCUAUUCUCUUAGACUGUUGUUGGGAACAUUUUUUCACAGUUACUGGUGGUCUCAAAAAUCUGUCCCUGAGAAAGUCCUGGUUUGUGUAACUGUGUCACAAUUGUAACACCAUUUUCGUGUGACACGUAUUCACAUGUGCAGUAGUUUGGCGUUUCAGGCUUUUCAUGUUCAUAUCAAUACUUUUCUCUUAUCAAAACAAACAAACACAUUUCCAUUGUGUCCAAUUUCUAAUGGGAAUUUAGGUCCUAUACUUUGUUGGAAACAUAACUUCAGGCUACUGAACGAAAAAAAUUCAUCACUUUCAUUUUUCUUUUCUGCCAAAAAAAUAAUCAAUAUAUUUAAAUAUGAGGCAUUUAAUCAGUUGUUAAUUUGAGUUUAAUGUUUGUAUCAAGGGUAAG
rnacentral:lncRNA from 10 species